CAGCCGCCGCGGUAAUACAGAGGGUGCGAGCGUUAAUCGGAUUUACUGGGCGUAAAGCGUGCGUAGGCGGCUAAUUGAGUCGGAUGUGAAAUCCCCGAGCUUAACUUGGGAAUUGCAUUCGAUACUGGUUAGCUAGAGUGUGGGAGAGGAUGGUAGAAUUCCAGGUGUAGCGGUGAAAUGCGUAGAGAUCUGGAGGAAUACCGAUGGCGAAGGCAGCCAUCUGGCCUAACACUGACGCUGAGGUACGAAAGCAUGGGGAGCAAACAGGAUUAGAGACCCCUGUAGUCCCUGUCUCUUAUAA
rnacentral:rRNA from 1 species